rnacentral:rRNA from 1 species
UCGCCCUGUUUACCAAAAACAUCGCUCUUUGAAAAGAAAACUAAUACAUAAAGAGUCCUGCCUGCCCAGUGACAGUAGUUAAACGGCCGCGGUAUUUUGACCGUGCAAAGGUAGCAUAAUCAUUUGCCUUUUAAAUGGAGGCUGGUAUGAAUGGCAAGACGGGGGUUUAGCUGUCUCUCUUUUAGAAUCUUGAAUUUAUCAUCUUCGUGAAGAGGCGGAGAUAAGGUCGUAGGACGAGAAGACCCUAUCGAGCUUCAGCUAUUGAUUAGAGUUAUAAAAUUAUUAUUUUUAUGCUAAUUAAAAUAUAAAAUUAGUUUUACUUAAGGAUAAAAACUAAUUUCUAAUUAAAUGUUUUGGUUGGGGCAACCGCGGAGAAAACACAUCCUCCGCUUUAAGUUAAGAAAAAUUUAUUAUUUUAAAAGGUUUUUAACUAAGAAAUGAUCCACUAAAGAGUGAUCAAAGGAACAAGUUACCGUAGGGAUAACAGCGUAAUUUUUUUGGAGAGUUCAUAUUGAUAAAAAAGUUUGCGACCUCGAUGUUGGAUCGGGACUUCCUGGAGGUGCAGCAGCUUCCAAGGGU